AAUAAACGAAUUUUUAUGUUUUUUUAGAAUUUUUGACUCUUCGUCUUAUUUGAAAAUUUCUUAUGAUUAAUAUUUUUAAUGUUACUAUAUGAUAAAACAUGAAUAGUACUUUAUAUGUGACUAAUUUUUUUCAAUUUUUUAAUAAAUUUUUUAAGUAAGACGGAUGGUCAAACGCUCGAUCUAAAAAUCCCAG
rnacentral:pre_miRNA from 1 species